CUGAGCGACACGACCGUACCGCAAACCGACACUGGUGCGCGAGAUGAGUAUUCUAAGGCGCUUGAGAGAACUCAGGAGAAGGAACUCGGCAAAUUGACACCGUAACUUCGGAAGAAGGUGUGCCUUUAGUAGGUGAACCUGUACAAGGGGAGCCCAAUGAGGUUGCAAAAAAUCGGUGGCUGCGACUGUUUAAUAAAAACACAGCACUCUGCAAACACGAAAGUGGACGUAUAGGGUGUGACGCCUGCCCGGUGCUGGAAGAUUAAAUGAUGGGGUGCAAGCUCUUGAUUGAAGUCCCAGUAAACGGCGGCCGUAACAAUAACGGUCCUAAGGUAGCGAAAUUCCUUGUCGGGUAAGUUCCGACCUGCACGAAUGGCGUAACGAUGGCCACACUGUCUCCUCCUGAGACUCAGCGAAGUUGAAAUGUUUGUGAUGAUGCAAUCUCCCCGCGGAAAGACGGAAAGACCCCAUGAACCUUUACUGUAGCUUUGUAUUGGACUUUGAACAGAUCUGUGUAGGAUAGGUGGGAGGCUUUGAAGUGUGGUCGCUAGAUCGCAUGGAGCCAACGUUGAAAUACCACCCUGGUGUGUUUGAGGUUCAAACCUAGGCCCGUAAUCCGGGUCGGGGACAGUGCAUGGUAGGCAGUUUGACUGGGGCGGUCUCCUCCCAAAGCGUAACGGAGGAGUUCGAAGGUACGCUAGGUACGGUCGGACAUCGUGCUAAUAGUGCAAUGGCAUAAGCGUGCUUAACUGCGAGACUGACAAGUCGAGCAGAUGCGAAAGCAGGACAUAGUGAUCCGGUGGUUCUGUAUGGAAGGGCCAUCGCUCAACGGAUAAAAGGUACUCUGGGGAUAACAGGCUGAUACCGCCCAAGAGUUCAUAUCGACGGCGGUGUUUGGCACCUCGAUGUCGGCUCAUCUCAUCCUGGGGCUGUAGCCGGUCCCAAGGGUAUGGCUGUUCGCCAUUUAAAGAGGUACGUGAGCUGGGUUUAAAACGUCGUGAGACAGUUUGGUCCCUAUCUUCCGUGGGCGCUGCAGAUUUGAGGAAGCCUGCUCCUAGUACGAGAGGACCGGAGUGGACACACCUCUGGUGUAUCGGUUGUCACGCCAGUGGCAUUGCCGAGUAGCUAUGUGUGGAAGAGAUAACCGCUGAAAGCAUCUAAGCGGGAAACUCGUUUCAAGAUGAGAUCUGCCGGGGCCUUGAGCCCCCUAAAGAGUCGUUCAAGACCAGGACGUUGAUAGGUCGGGUGUGGAAGCGCAGUAAUGCGUUAAGCUAACCGAUACUAAUUGCUCGUGCGGCUUGACCU
rnacentral:rRNA from 1 species